CUCCUACUAUUAUGUGAUUAUUGGACAGGGGUCACGAUCCUCAGCCAUGAGGAAUACGACGCAUAGAAAAUAUAUUGGUCUAUU